CGGGGUGAGUAAUGUCUGGGAAACUGCCUGAUGGAGGGGGGUAACUACUGGAAACGGUAGCUAAUACCGCAUAACGUCGCAAGACCAAAGUGGGGGACCUUCGGGCCUCAUGCCAUAAGAUGUGCCCAGAUGGGAUUAGCUAGUAGGUGGGGUAACGGCUCACCUAGGCGACGAUCCCUAGCUGGUCUGAGAGGAUGCCAGCCACACUGGAACUGAGACACGGUCCAG
rnacentral:rRNA from 1 species